rfam:Oscillatoria acuminata PCC 6304, complete genome.
GGAGAGAUGGCCGAGAGGCUGAUGGCGCGGUCUUGGAAAGACCGAUCGGAUUGAACAAAUCCGACGAGGGUUCAAAUCCCUCUCUCUCCU